rnacentral:rRNA from 1 species
UGGGGAAUAUUGCACAAUGGGCGCAAGCCUGAUGCAGCGACGCCGCGUGAAGGAUGAAGUAUUUCGGUAUGUAAACUUCUAUCAGCAGGGAAGAAAAUGACGGUACCUGACUAAGAAGCCCCGGCUAACUACGUGCCAGCAGCCGCGGUAAUACGUAGGGGGCAAGCGUUAUCCGGAUUUACUGGGUGUAAAGGGAGCGUAGAUGGCAUGGCAAGUCUGAAGUGAAAGCCCGGGGCUUAACCCCGGGACUGCUUUGGAAACUGUCAGGCUGGAGUGCAGGAGAGGCAAGCGGAAUUCCUAGUGUAGCGGUGAAAUGCGUAGAUAUUAGGAGGAACACCGGUGGCGAAGGCGGCUUGCUGGACUGUAACUGACAUUGAGGCUCGAAAGCGUGGGGAGCAAACA